AUACGGAGGAUCCAAGCGUUAUCCGGAUUUAUUGGGUUUAAAGGGUGCGUAGGCGGACUGGUAAGUCAGCUGUGACAGUUUGCGGCUUAACCGUAAAAUUGCAGUUGAUACUGUCAGUCUUGAGUGUGCAUGAGGUGGGCGGAAUUUGUGGUGUAGCGGUGAAAUGCUUAGAUAUCACGAGGAACUCCAAUUCCGAAGGCAGCUCACUGGGGCAUAACCGACGCUGAUGCACGAAGGCGUGGGUAUCAAACAGGAUUAGAUACCCUGGUAGUCCACACAGUAAACUAUGAAUACUCGCUGUUUGCGAUAUACAGUAAGCGGCCAAGCGAAAGCAUUAAGUAUUCCACCUGGGG
rnacentral:rRNA from 1 species